GGAAUUUUGGGCAAUGGGCGAAAGCCUGACCCAGCAACGCCGCGUGAAGGAUGAAAUCCCUCGGGAUGUAAACUUCGCAAGAACGGGAAGAAUAAGUAAGAGCUAACAUCUCUUACGAUGACGGUACUGUUUGUAAGCCCCGGCUAACUCCGUGCCAGCAGCCGCGGUAAUACGGAGGGGGCAAGCGUUAUUCGGAAUCAUUGGGCGUAAAGGGCGCGUAGGCGGCCUGGCAAGUCAAAGGUGAAAUCCCUCGGCCCAACCGAGGAACCGCCUUUGAAACUGCAAGGCUCGAGGCCGGGAGAGGGUAGCGGAAUUCCCAGUGUAGCGGUGAAAUGCGUAGAUAUUGGGAGGAACACCAGUGGCGAAGGCGGCUACCUGGACCGGUUCUGACGCUGAGGCGCGAAAGCGUGGGGAGCAAA
rnacentral:rRNA from 1 species